UCCUACGGGAGGCAGCAGUAGGGAAUCUUCCGCAAUGGACGAAAGUCUGACGGAGCAACGCCGCGUGAGUGAUGAAGGCUUUCGGGUCGUAAAACUCUGUUGUUAGGGAAGAACAAGUGCUAGUUGAAUAAGUUGGCACCUUGACGGUACCUAACCAGAAAGCCACGGCUAACUACGUGCCAGCAGCCGCGGUAAUACGUAGGUGGCAAGCGUUAUCCGGAAUUAUUGGGCGUAAAGCGCGCGCAGGUGGUUUCUUAAGUCUGAUGUGAAAGCCCACGGCUCAACCAUGGAGGGUCAUUGGAAACUGGGAGACUUGAGUGCAGAAGAGGAAAGUGGAAUUCCAUGUGUAGCGGUGAAAUGCGUAGAGAUAUGGAGGAACACCAGUGGCGAAGGCGACUUUCUGGUCUGUAACUGACACUGAGGCGCGAAAGCGUGGGGAGCAAACAGGAUUAGAUACCCUGGUAGUCCACGCCGUAAACGAUGAGUGCUAAGUGUUAGAGGGUUUCCGCCCUUUAGUGCUGAAGUUAACGCAUUAAGUACUCCGCCUGGGGAGUACGGCCGCAAGGCUGAAACUCAAAUGAAUUGACGGA
rnacentral:rRNA from 1 species